GGCAUGGUGGCUUAGUGGUUAGCAUGCUUGCCUCACACCACAGAGAUUGGGGGUUUGACUCCUACCUCUGCCC